rnacentral:tRNA from 1 species
GUGGUUAUAGUUCAGUCGGUUAGAACGCCAGAUUGUGGUUCUGGAGGUCGUCGGUUCGAAUCCGAUUAGCCACC